UGGGGAAUUUUGGACAAUGGGCGCAAGCCUGAUCCAGCAAUGCCGCGUGCAGGAUGAAGGCCUUCGGGUUGUAAACUGCUUUUGUACGGAACGACAAGCCCUGGGUUAAUACCCUGGGGUCAUGACGGUACCGUAAGAAUAAGCACCGGCUAACUACGUGCCAGCAGCCGCGGUAAUACGUAGGGUGCGAGCGUUAAUCGGAAUUACUGGGCGUAAAGCGUGCGCAGGCGGUUUUGUAAGACAGAGGUGAAAUCCCCGGGCUCAACCUGGGAACUGCCUUUGUGACUGCAAGGCUAGAGUACGGCAGAGGGGGAUGGAAUUCCGCGUGUAGCAGUGAAAUGCGUAGAUAUGCGGAGGAACACCGAUGGCGAAGGCAAUCCCCUGGGCCUGUACUGACGCUCAUGCACGAAAGCGUGGGGAGCAAACAG
rnacentral:rRNA from 1 species